rnacentral:rRNA from 1 species
AUUGAACGCUGGCGGCAUGCCUUACACAUGCAAGUCGAACGGCAGCACGGGAGCAAUCCUGGUGGCGAGUGGCGAACGGGUGAGUAAUGUAUCGGAACGUACCUUUCAGUGGGGGAUAACGUAGCGAAAGUUACGCUAAUACCGCAUAUUCUGUGAGCAGGAAAGCAGGGGGUCGCAAGACCUUGCGCUGAUUGAGCGGCCGAUAUCAGAUUAGCUAGUUGGUGAGGUAAAGGCUCACCAAGGCGGCGAUCUGUAGCGGGUCUGAGAGGGUGAUCCGCCACACUGGAACUGAGACACGGUCCAGACUCCUACGGGAGGCAGCAGUGGGGAAUUUUGGACAAUGGGCGCAAGCCUGAUCCAGCCAUGCCGCGUGAGUGAAGAAGGCCU